rnacentral:ncRNA from 1 species
GGGCUUUAAGCCCCCUGAAGGGACGUGGGCUUUAAGYCCCCUGAAGGGACGUUUAAGACUAAGACGUUGAUAGGCUGGGUGUGUAAGUGCAGCGAUGCAUUGAGCUAACCAGUACUAAUGACCCGWGAGGCUUAACCUU